AUUGAACGCUGGCUGCAGGCCUAACACAUGCAAGUCGAACGGUAACAGGAAGCAGCUUGCUGCUUUGCUGACGAGUGGCGGACGGGUGAGUAAUGUCUGGGAAACUGCCUGAUGGAGGGGGAUAACUACUGGAAACGGUAGCUAAUACCGCAUAACGUCGCAAGACCAAAGAGGGGGACCUUCGGGCCUCUUGCCAUCGGAUGUGCCCAGAUGGGAUUAGCUAGUAGGUGGGGUAACGGCUCACCUAGGCGACGAUCCCUAGCUGGUCUGAGAGGAUGACCAGCCACACUGGAACUGAGACACGGUCCAGACUCCUACGGGAGGCAGCAGUGGGGAAUAUUGCACAAUGGGCGCAAGCCUGAUGCAGCCAUGCCGCGUGUAUGAAGAAGGCCUUCGGGUUGUAAAGUACUUUCAGCGGGGAGGAAGGGAGUAAAGUUAAUACCUUUGCUCAUUGACGUUACCCGCAGAAGAAGCACCGGCUAACUCCGUG
rnacentral:rRNA from 1 species